rnacentral:rRNA from 1 species
UAGGGAAUCUUCGGCAAUGGACGGAAGUCUGACCGAGCAACGCCGCGUGAGUGAAGAAGGUUUUCGGAUCGUAAAGCUCUGUUGUUAGAGAAGAACGUUGGUAGGAGUGGAAAAUCUACCAAGUGACGGUAACUAACCAGAAAGGGACGGCUAACUACGUGCCAGCAGCCGCGGUAAUACGUAGGUCCCGAGCGUUGUCCGGAUUUAUUGGGCGUAAAGCGAGCGCAGGCGGUUCUUUAAGUCUGAAGUUAAAGGCAGUGGCUUAACCAUUGUACGCUUUGGAAACUGGAGGACUUGAGUGCAGAAGGGGAGGGUGGAAUUCCAUGUGUAGCGGUGAAAUGCGUAGAUAUAUGGAGGAACACCGGUGGCGAAAGCGGCUCUCUGGUCUGUAACUGACGCUGAGGCUCGAAAGCGAGGGGAGCAAACAGG